rnacentral:rRNA from 1 species
GACGAACGCUGGCGGCGUGCUUAACACAUGCCAGUCGAACGGAAAGGCCCUGCUUUUGUGGGGUGCUCGAGUGGCGAACGGGUGAGUAACACGUGAGUAACCUGCCCUUGACUUUGGGAUAACUUCAGGAAACUGGGGCUAAUACCGGAUAGGAGCUCCUGCUGCAUGGUGGGGGUUGGAAAGUUUCGGCGGGUGGGGAUGGACUCGCGGCUUAUCAGAUUGUUGGUGGGGUAGUGGCUUACCAAGGCUUUGACGGGUAGCCGGCCUGAGAGGGUGACCGGCAACAUUGGGACUGAGAUACGGCCCAGACUCCUACGGGAGGCAGCAGUGGGGAAUAUUGCACAAUGGGCGGAAGCCUGAUGCAGCAACGCCGCGUGCGGGAUGACGGCCUUCGGGUUGUAAACCGCUUUCGCCUGUGACGAAGCGUGAGUGACGGUAAUGGGUAAAGAAGCACCGGCUAACUACGUG